rnacentral:rRNA from 1 species
UCCUCCAAGGCUAAAUACUCCUGACUGACCGAUAGUGAACCAGUACCGUGAGGGAAAGGCGAAAAGAACCCCGGCGAGGGGAGUGAAAAAGAACCUGAAACCGUGUACGUACAAGCAGUGGGAGCACAGGUUUACCUGUGUGACUGCGUACCUUUUGUAUAAUGGGUCAGCGACUUAUAUUCUGUAGCAAGGUUAACCGAAUAGGGGAGCCGGAGGGAAACCGAGUCUUAAUUGGGCGUUAAGUUGCAGGGUAUAGACCCGAAACCCGGUGAUCUAGCCAUGGGCAGGUUGAAGGUUGGGUAACACUAACUGGAGGACCGAACCGACUAAUGUUGAAAAAUUAGCGGAUGACCUGUGGCUGGGGGUGAAAGGCCAAUCAAACCGGGAGAUAGCUGGUUCUCCCCGAAAGCUAUUUAGGUAGCGCCUCGUGAAUUCAUCUCCGGGGGUAGAGCACUGUUUCGGCUAGGGGGCCAUCCCGGCUUACCAACCCGAUGCAAACUGCGAAUACCGGAGAAUGUUAUCACGGGAGACACACGGCGGGUGCUAACGUCCGUCGUGAAGAGGGAAACAACCCAGACCGCCAGCUAAGGUCCCAAAGUCAUGGUUAAGUGGGAAACGAUGUGGGAAGGCCCAGACAGCCAGGAUGUUGGCUUAGAAGCAGCCAUCAUUUAAAGAAAGCGUAAUAGCUCACUGGUCGAGUCGGCCUGCGCGGAAGAUGUAACGGGGCUAAACCAUGCACCGAAGCUGCGGCAGCGACACUCAGGUGUUGUUGGGUAGGGGAGCGUUCUGUAAGCCUGCGAAGGUGGCCUGUGAGGGUUGCUGGAGGUAUCAGAAGUGCGAAUGCUGACAUAAGUAACGAUAAAGCGGGUGAAAAGCCCGCUCGCCGGAAGACCAAGGGUUCCUGUCCAACGUUAAUCGGGGCAGGGUGAGUCGACCCCUAAGGCGAGGCCGAAAGGCGUAGUCGAUGGGAAACGGGUUAAUAUUCCCGUACUUGGUGUUACUGCGAAGGGGGGACGGAGAAGGCUAUGUUGGCCGGGCGACGGUUGUCCCGGUUUAAGCGUGUAGGUGUGUGUUCCAGGUAAAUCCGGUUCACUUUAACACUGAGGCGUGACGACGAGGCACUACGGUGCUGAAGCAACAAAUGCCCUGCUUCCAGGAAAAGCCUCUAAGCAUCAGGUAACAUCAAAUCGUACCCCAAACCGACACAGGUGGUCAGGUAGAGAAUACCAAGGCGCUUGA